AUUGAACGCUGGCGGCAUGCCUUACACAUGCAAGUCGAACGGUAACGCAGGGCAACCUGGCGACGAGUGGCGAACGGGUGAGUAAUGCAUCGGAACGUGCCCAGUAGUGGGGGAUAGCCCGGCGAAAGCCGGGUUAAUACCGCAUACGACCUAAGGGUGAAAGCGGGGGAUCGCAAGACCUCGCGCUAUUGGAGCGGCCGAUGUCGGAUUAGCUAGUUGGUGGGGUAAAGGCCUACCAAGGCAACGAUCCGUAGCUGGUCUGAGAGGACGACCAGCCACACUGGGACUGAGACACGGCCCAGACUCCUACGGGAGGCAGCAGUGGGGAAUUUUGGACAAUGGGCGCAAGCCUGAUCCAGCCAUGCCGCGUGCGGGAAGAAGGCCUUCGGGUUGUAAACCGCUUUUGUCAGGGAAGAAACGGUCUGAGUUAAUACCUCGGGCUAAUGACGGUACCUGAAGAAUAAGCACCGGCUAACUACGUGCCAGCCGCCGCAGUAAAAC
rnacentral:rRNA from 1 species